UUUUAUUGUGGCUGGAUUCGGUAACUUACCUGGUGAUAUGAAGCAUACUAGCUUAACAUUGAAAGAAAAAGAUAUCGCUGUUACCAACGUCAAGAUUGAUUUAGCUCGUGGAAGAGAAAUCCUCUUGAAUGGUUUUCGACCCAUUCAAAACUAUCUAAAGAAUAUAAGAAGAUAAGUUUUCAAUUUAUACACCUGCUCAUUUAAUUC